rnacentral:rRNA from 1 species
ACAAUGGGCGGAAGCCUGAUCCAGCAACGCCGCGUGAGGGAUGACGGCCUUCGGGUUGUAAACCUCUUUCAGUACCGACGAAGCGAAAGUGACGGUAGGUACAGAAGAAGCACCAGCCAACUACGUGCCAGCAGCCGCGGUAAUACGUAGGGUGCGAGCGUUGUCCGGAAUUAUUGGGCGUAAAGGGCUCGUAGGCGGUUUGUCGCGUCGGGAGUGAAAACACUGGGCUUAACUCAGUGCUUGCUUCCGAUACGGGCAGACUAGAGGUAUGCAGGGGAGAACGGAAUUCCUGGUGUAGCGGUGAAAUGCGCAGAUAUCAGGAGGAACACCGGUGGCGAAGGCGGUUCUCUGGGCAUUACCUGACGCUGAGGAGCGAAAGUGUGGGGAGCGAACAGGAUUAGAUACCCUGGUAGUCCACACCGUAAACGUUGGGCGCUAGGUGUGGGGUCCAUUCCACGGAUUCCGUGCCGCAGCUAACGCAUUAAGCGCCCCGCCUGGGGAGUACGGCCGCAAGGCUA